ensembl:snoRNA
UGGUCAUUACCAAGGCUUUUAGAAUGUAGUUUCUUAUUUGCUGUGGACAUGACCGUAAAGCAAAAUCCCAACUAGGUUUUUCUUCCUGCUACUAUGUUAGCAUUUAGCCUGUUGGGAACAUUU